rnacentral:tRNA from 1 species
GUUAAGAUAGCUUAAAGCACAAAGCUUAGCGCUGAAAAUGCUAGAAUGAAGACCUUUUUCUUCUCUUAACA